GCUACCUGGUUGAUCCUGCCAG
rnacentral:rRNA from 1 species